rnacentral:lncRNA from 1 species
CACUUCACGCGUAGACAACUACAGAACCAACAAGCAAUGAUCCAAGUUGGUAUAGAGAGGGCAAACAGUGGACAGGCAGGAACAGAUCCUCCCAAGAAGAAGAGACAAUAAAUCCAUCUAAUUUUAAGAUCCAAGUGACUAAGUUAAAAGUCAUCAUUAACUUGGUUUAAGGGAUCUUUGUUUUUUGUCCUAAAAUUAGCUACCGAUCUUUGUUUUCUAGAAGGCCUUCUAGCUAAUAAUUAUUUUUAUCUUUUUAUCAAUAUCUCAUUUAAUAGUAUAAUGU